rnacentral:rRNA from 1 species
UACAGAGGGUGCAAGCGUUGUUCGGAAUUAUUGGGCGUAAAGCGCGUGUAGGCGGCAGUGCAAGUCGGGUGUGAAAGCCCUCAGCUCAACUGAGGAAGUGCGCCCGAAACUGCAUUGCUUGAGUACCGGAGAGGAUGGUGGAAUUCCCGAAGUAGAGGUGAAAUUCGUAGAUAUUGGGAGGAACACCGGUGGCGAAGGCGACCAUCUGGACGGAUACUGACGCUGAGACGCGAAAGCGUGGGUAGCAAACAGG